UCGACGUGAAGUCUGGACCUUUCUAACAGCUGGAACAGUAUGAUAGGUAAUGAGUAAGUUUCCGGGGACUUCCUAAGUCAGAGAUGGGGUGCUGCCAAGGACACUAGAGGAUGUCCUCGCUCUGUGUAGGAAGUUCUGCAACUGUGGUGACAUUCACAUGCAGUGUAAAGGGGCCUCCACCAGCAACUUCCUUUACAAAGAGACUCCACGUCUAUAUGAUUUCUGAGGCCUAUAUCCUUGCCUUCUGUGCCUACCCUUCAUACAUUCCUUAACAACUGUACGGCAGGCACUUUUCUUCCUCAGGGGUCUCAGUCGGUCAACAGCAAUGACCCGUGCUCUCCUCUAGGCCUUUUUAUAGUCCGGUCAUCCUGGAUCACUCCCUGGUCCUCUGGGAGGGGCUUACCAACUUCGGAUGUUACCUAGAGCUUAUGACCUCCGCUUGGCAGAGAAGAAAGAGGGCAGAAGUAUCUGGAUUGUGAGACUGAUCUUUGUGGUCUUUGAGAGAACCCUUAUCAUCCACUUUCUGAGACACAGGACAUGACGGACUCCAACAUGGCUCAAAUCCCAUCUCUGCCUCUUCUGGACUCUGUGACCUAGAGAAAGCUUACAAACCUGAGUUUUCCUUGUGAAAAAUAAGAGACUGGAAUGACAAUACCUACAUCUCUCUUCAGGGUGGAAAGUGUCUGGACUUGGGAACAGGUUACUCAGACCCUUGACUCAAGUAAGUCUGCAGCCACAAUCACAGUCCUUAAUCCUCCUUGGUGGUAAAACAAAAAGUUGCUGACAGCUUCCUUGAGCUGUGCCUUUGGAGCCGCAGAUCUCCCAGGAAUGCUACCUAUUCACACCACUUUGCAAAGGGAAGCCUCGUGAAUCAAAACCACUUCAUGUGUGCACCUGCGUGUGCUCCAGCACGUGCACCAGUGCGUACACCGUGUGCUCCAGCGUGUGCAUCUGCAUGUGCAACAGUGUGUACACCAACGUGUGCUCUAGCAUGUGCACCAGUGCAGUGUGUACUCCAGCGUGUGCACCUGUGUGUGCUCCAGCGUGUGCACGGAUGCUCUGAGGUCACUUUGGCGCCUGCUCUUGGGACCUUGCUCCUAUAGUAAAGACUCCAACCCCAGGAUUGUCUGGGAGGAAACAUGCUGAUAACUGACUCAGAAUGGGACAAAACAGUUAAUCCUGGUCCUGGGUCCACUAGCAGUGGCUUAUCUGCUGUCUGCUGGGUGCGACUCUCACCCUACCCCCAUUCUUCACUCAAGGAUCCCUGAGCUCUGUGUCUCUUGGGAAAGUGUCUCUGAUCUAUUUUUGACUGAGUUUGCAUGCUCUCCACACGGAUUAUCAUCUGGCUGACUCCGGUUUUGAUUAACUCUUUUGUUUGAUCUGUUCUGUCUCACGGCAUGAGCUCUCUGGCCCAUUGCAGCCCUUCCUGGAUUACAGGAGCAUUGGCUAAGUAACUGCUCCUGACUGUGAGUAGCUCAGCAAGAGGUACUCAGUCAUGUUCCAGGAAGAGUCAACAGAAUCAUUUUUAACUCGCUAUGCCUUCUGUGGCUUCUUUCCGUCUGGCUGACUCGAAUGAUGACCUCAUCAUGAAGCCAAAGAUCUGUGGUUCGUGGUUGUGUGUCUAAAAACUUCUUCCUUGAAAGAUAAACCAAUACCGGUGCGCACGAACGGCUGAAGCUAAUCAAGGGAGAGCAGAGGCAGGUCCUGAUCAUCUUCACACCAAAGUUUCCCUGUUGAAAUCAACAGAUGCUCCGGGACAUCAGAUUAACGGAUUUCAAAGUGCAGACCUAAGAGCUUCGCGUGCUGAAGGGAAUACAGAGACAGCAAACACCGUCUCUCCCUUUUCUAAGAAAACUGAGACCUGAGUCUUGUCCAAAAUGUUCUAGAGCAAACAAAGAUGGAGACCAUACGGGGGCCUGACACUGCUCUUCACGGGCUGGGGGGGAGACAUUUACAUGUGGAGAAAAUGAGAUUCUGCUGCAGAAGGUUUUGGACUACAGGCAACUGUACUUGCCAGAGCUCUUCAGAGGAAUGGAAGCAACUACGCAGUAUGAAUACACAUGUGUAUAUAUGUGUGGAUGAAUGUGUGCAUAUUGGCCCCUGUAUUUGAAAAGUUUACAUGAUUUUAGAAAAGAUACAAGUAUCCAAAAAUAGAAAUUUCGCACUGGAAGUCCCAUAGGAAUCAUGUGCUUUGCCAGUUGUCUGUGAUUCUGUCUGCACGCUGGAGAGCUGGAGCGCUAACUAGCUGCUUAGUUCUGAAGCUGAGUUCCUUGAAACAAGGACUGAUGAGGCACCUCCCAGCCCAGGGCUAGAGGCCUAGGGAGUUGAUACUCACAGUCAAAGGCUCACGAGGCUGGUGUCUGAUGUGGGCUACAGCAGCUGCACUGAACAUAUGUGCUCAGAAAGCCGAGCUUGCAAGCGCAAGACAACCUCCUCCACUUUCUACUUGGAUUCGUCAUGGUGGCAGGCUGGCUGGUUAGCAUAACCCGCAUUCAAGGAUGCUUUUCUCCCUCAGCUGCUGUCCCACAAGUCAACGGUCUCAGGAAAUGGCCUUACCAACACACCAGAAGGUGUGCUUUACCAGUCUCUUUGUUAUCCCUCAAUCCAGUCAACCGGCAAUCAAGAUUAACUACCAUGGUGUCCAAAUUAAAAUACAGAGAUUUGAACUAUAAUCCCUGAAGGCCACUCUAUAAGUGAUUGUCCAAUGAUUAAGCUCACAAUUGAGGUAUUUGAGGCUGUAACCUCUCAACUUUGUAACUUUAUCAGUAAAGAUUUAUUAGUGAGCCUCUAAAUACAUGCAUGUGCAUGUACUGUGCCCAGUACCCUUUCAAGACUGCGAGACUAUUCUAGGGUCAAAACAAACAAACAGAAAACAUUACCAAUAGCUGUUCUAUAUUCUCAUUAUAUCCAAAUGAGUUAUUUUGUGUACUUCAUCUGGAAGCCACUCUUCAAGAUCAUUAUUUUUUUUUUACCCAAAAGGAAGGCUCAUGGCUCAUCAGUGGAGCAUGAAAUCCAUUCAUCAAGCUGCAUCACCAGGGUCAGAUCACGGACUCCCAUUGGCUACACCUGCCUUGAAGCAGCAGGAUAGGAAACCUAGAGUGUGAAGUUUGCUGGGGCAUUGAGCUGGGGAAAAAGCAAUCGGAAGGAGCUGAGAACACACGUCUGCUGGCUGGCAUGGAAGAUGACUUUGGGGAGAUCACUCACUCCUGCAGAGUCUUGGUUUCCUUGUGGGGAAUUUGAGACCAUCACCUCUUGGGCUUGUUUUAGGACUUACAUGUAACAGAGUAUAAGAGUGUCUUUUGUAAUCUUCCAAAUUGUGUAUAUAAAUGGGAAGGCUUUUAUGUUGGGCUCCAACCCAACACCUGUGGGUUGGAGGGUCUGA